rnacentral:rRNA from 1 species
UACGAAGGGGGCUAGCGUCGGUCGGAAUUACUGGGCGUAAAGCGCACGUAGGCGGGUGGUUAAGUCAGGGGUGAAAUCCCGGAGCUCAACUCCGGAACUGUCUUUGAUACUGGCCAUCUAGAGAUCGGAAGAGGUGAGUGGAAUUCCCAGUGUAGAGGUGAAAUUCGUAGAUAUUGGGAAGAACACCAGUGGCGAAGGCGGCUCACUGGUCCGAUACUGACGCUGAGGUGCGAAAGCGUGGGGAGCAAACAGG